rnacentral:rRNA from 1 species
GGCUUGGAAAAGUUUUUCGACGAAAGGGGUAAAAAAAAUGGUUUUUAUCUGCUAUAGGAUAGGAUCGUGUUCGAUUAUGGUUGUUGGUGAGGUAAUGGCUCACCAAGCCGAUAAUCGAUAGGGGCCGUGAGAGCGGGAGCCCCGAGAUGGGUACUGAGACAACGACCCAGGCCUUACGAGGCGCAGCAGGCGCGAAACCUCCGCAAUACACGAAAGUGUGACGGGGUUACCCAAAGUGUUCAAUUUUGAACUGUGGUAGGUGAGUAAUGUUCCCUACUAGAAAGGAGAGGGCAAGGCUGGUGCCAGCCGCCGCGGUAAAACCAGCUCUUCAAGUGGUCGGGAUAAUUAUUGGGCUUAAAGUGUCCGUAGCCGGUUUAGUAAGUUCCUGGUAAAAUCGGGUAGCUUAACUAUCUAUAUGCUAGGAAUACUACUUUACUAGAGGGCGGGAGAGGUCUGAGGUACUACAGGGGUAGGGGUGAAAUCUUAUAAUCCUUGUUGGACCACCAGUGGCGAAGGCGUCAGACUGGAACGCGCCUGACGGUGAGGGACGAAAGCCAGGGGAGCGAACCGGAUUAGAUACCCGGGUAGUCCUGGCCGUAAACGAUGCAUACUAGGUGAUGGCACGGCCAUGAGCCGUGUCAGUGCCGUAGGGAAACCGUUAAGUGUGCCGCCUGGGAAGUACGGUCGCAAGGCUAAA